AUAUAAGUGAAUACCACACUUAAUACAAAACACCUGAUCUUGUCUCAUCUCAGCAGCUAAGCAUUGUUGGGCUCGGUUAGUAAUUUGAUGGGAGACAUUUUGAUUUUUAAGAUCAUAAAUAUG
ensembl:rRNA 5S_rRNA 5S ribosomal RNA